rnacentral:rRNA from 1 species
CCGGAUUUAUUGGGUUUAAAGGGUGCGUAGGCGGCCUUGUAAGUCAGCGGUGAAAUUUUGCAGCUUAACUGUAAAAGCGCCGUUGAUACUGUGAGGCUAGGAUUUGGUUGCUGUGGGCGGAAUGUGUGGUGUAGCGGUGAAAUGCUUAGAGAUCACACAGAAUAUCGAUUGCGAAGGCAGCUCACAAAGCCAAGAUUGACGCUGAGGCACGAAAGUGUGGGGAUCAAACAGGAUUAGAUACCCUGGUAGUCCACACUGUAAACGAUGAUAACUCGCUGUCGGCGAUAGACCGUCGGUGGCCAAGCGAAAGCGAUAAGUUAUCCACCUGGGGAGUACGACCGCAAGGUUGAAACUCAAAGGAAUUGACGGGGGCCCGCACAAGCGGAGGAACAUGUGGUUUAAUUCGAUGAUACGCGAGGAACCUUACCCGGGCUCGAACGGUGCAUGAAUGUUCAAGAGAUUGGACAGUCCUUCGGGACAUGUAUCGAGGUGCUGCAUGGUUGUCGUCAGCUCGUGCCGUGAGGUGUCGGCUUAAGUGCCAUAACGAGCGCAACCCUUGUCAUUAGUUACCAUCAGGUUAAGCUGGGGACUCUAGUGAGACUGCCACCGUAAGGUGUGAGGAAGGGGGGGAUGACGUCAAAUCAGCACGGCCCUUAUGUCCGGGGCGACACACGUGUUACAAUGGGAGGUACAGAGAGCAGCCAGUUAGUGAUAACGCGCCAAUCUCAAAAACCUUUCUCAGUUCGGAUUGGAGUCUGCAACUCGACUCCAUGAAGUUGGAUUCGCUAGUAAUCGCGCAUCAGC